ensembl:lncRNA
AUCCUGCAUCAUCCUCGUGUUCUAUCACUCGUGCUCUUCCUUGAAUCUUAUAAGAAUAUUCUAUCUGCAGUAAUUAUAAGUUAGUCUAACUACAGACACAGCAUGAUGUGACCAAAAAAAAGGUUGUUUAAUAGAACUAAUAGCCUCCUUUUAGAAGUGAAUUAUACACUCGUAACAGAUGCAAAAGUAAUUUUACAUUGUUGUGGUACAUUUGCAGUGGCAUAAAUAAUGAGUAUGCUUCUGGCAAGGCAUGUUGGGCCCUGCAGGAGAGCCGAGGAAGCAGGGCCGUUAGAGAGACACAGAGAGAGGUGGGAAGAGAUAACGCUGAGAGCAGAGAGCAGAGAGAAAAGAUAGGAUAUAUCUUUUAAGUUAUUUGCUGUCUGGAUUUUUAAAAAAAAAAGGUCACCUCCAUCACUACCAGCUCGUGCUAUGUACUGGUUCUAUUAAAAGAAUUAGCAUAGCCACAUUUCAAUAGUGGCUUUGUCAUUGUACUAAAGUGACUGACUGCUGCAGUUGCUGUGAAGAUCGUAAUGGAGAACACAGCAUUCACACAUAUACUGACUGUAGCGCUAGAUUUGAUCUGUGACUGUCGAGUUUAUUUGCAGCACUUCUCUGGGAUGUUGUUCUCACGGCACCAAGCAACAGCUUCUGAUGAAGGCGCAACGGGGGUGUUAUAUACUGCAGGCAAAUGAUUACAAAAGAAAGAAAGAAAGAAAGAAAGAAAGAAAGAAAGAAAGAAAGAAAGAAAGAAAGAAAGAAAGAAAGAAAGAAAGAAAGAAAGAAAGAAAGAAAGAAAGAACACACAAACUUUGAAAUGUUUCAAAUGCAAUCAGCAUCUGUCACUGAGCCUCACUGUGCAACGUAAGCCUGCAAGGGGAGAAUGAGGAGCAGAGGUGAUGUGACAGUUUUGAAAGUUGUGUCUUCUUCUGCUAUUCUAGAAGCUUCUUGGAAUCAGAGAUUCACGUUUAGGCCACAGACUCAAACAUACAAACACACAUAUAUGCAUGACAGGAACUAAUCAAAGAGUUUAGCAGCUGUUGAGUAAUAGAGAAACAGGAAAGGUGACAAACAUCCCCCUAAACAAAUUAGCCUCAUAUCUGAACUAUGUUUGUUUUUUUUGUCUCCAAGUCCGUCCCUGCGUGCUGCUUCGAUUAUUGUUGUGUUUGCAUGUGUGUGUGUGUGUGUGUGUAUCACCAACGUAUGCUCACACAGCCACACUGCGGGAAAUCAC